GGGGAUGUAGCUCAGAAUCUCAGAUGGUAGAGCGCUCGCUUAGCAUGCGAGAGGCACGGGGAUCGAUACCCCGCAUCUCCA
rfam:Zea mays cultivar B73 chromosome 4, whole genome shotgun sequence.